CACACGGCCUUUCUAAAGGCCACUCAUAGUUGCAUUGAAGAGGCCG
rfam:Ixodes scapularis strain Wikel colony gcontig_1108379537303, whole genome shotgun sequence.